rnacentral:rRNA from 1 species
AUACGUAGGUGGCGAGCGUUAUCCGGAUUUACUGGGUGUAAAGGGCGCGUAGGCGGGAAUGCAAGUCAGGUGUGAAAUCUAGGGGCUCAACCCCUAAACUGCACUUGAAACUGCGUUUCUUGAGUGUCGGAGGGGUUGACGGAAUUCCUAGUGUAGCGGUGAAAGGCGUAGAUAUUAGGAGGAACACCAGUGGCGAAGGCGGGUAACUGGACUGCAACUGACGCUGAGGCGCGAAAGUGUGGGGAGCAAACAGGAUUAGAUACCCUGGUAGUCCACACUGUAAACGAUGAAUGCUAGGUGUAAGAGGUAUCGACCCCUUUUGUGCCGGAGUCAACACAAUAAGCAUUCCGCCUGGGGAGUACGGCCGCAAGGUUGAAACUCAAAGGAAUUGACGGGG